GAUGAACGCUGGCGGCGUGCCUAAUACAUGCAAGUCGAGCGAACAGACGAGGAGCUUGCUCCUCUGACGUUAGCGGCGGACGGGUGAGUAACACGUGGAUAACCUACCUAUAAGACUGGGAUAACUUCGGGAAACCGGAGCUAAUACCGGAUAAUAUAUUGAACCGCAUGGUUCAAUAGUGAAAGACGGUUUUGCUGUCACUUAUAGAUGGAUCCGCGCCGCAUUAGCUAGUUGGUAAGGUAACGGCUUACCAAGGCGACGAUGCGUAGCCGACCUGAGAGGGUGAUCGGCCACACUGGAACUGAGACACGGUCCAGAAUCCUACGGGAGGCAGCAGUAGGGAAUCUUACGCAAUGGGCGAAAGACUGACGGAGCAACGCCGCGUGAGUGAUGAAGGUAUUCGGAUCGUAAAACUCUGUUAUUAGGGAAGAACAAAUGUGUAAGUAACUAUGCACGUCAUGAAGGUACCUAAUCAGAAAGCCACGGCUAACUAAGUG
rnacentral:rRNA from 1 species